UACGGGGGGGGUAAGCGUUGUCCGGAAUUAUUGGGCGUAAAGAGCUCGUAGGCGGUCUGUCGCGUCGGUCGUGAAAACUUGGGGCUUAACCCUGAGCUUGCGGUCGAUACGGGCAGACUAGAGUAUGGCAGGGGAGACUGGAAUUCCUGGUGUAGCGGUGAAAUGCGCAGAUAUCAGGAGGAACACCGAUGGCGAAGGCAGCUCGCUGGGACGGUACUGACGCUGAGGAGCGAAAGCCGUGGGGAGCGAACAGG
rnacentral:rRNA from 1 species